UAGAAAAAAUGAACUCUGGGACACGGGUCUAUGGGACAGUCCAAGAGAAUUCUACACCCAAAGAAGUCUCCAGAGGGUCCUCAAGGACCUAGUCAGACAUUAGCUGGAGAAACAUGAUGUCCAAACCCCCAAACCAUUUAAUGGAGCUUAAUCCAGUAUUUGAAAACCAUGAAGAGCCCUGUCUGGCCCGGGAGAAAGGCACCUGUGCCUGUGGCUGGAGGAAUGACGCGUGCUGGAGAAACUCGAGCCAGCGUGACGAGGAGCAGAUGCCCUUGGUUGAUACCAGAACAAUGCAGUGGUCAUCUAAGAAGAAAGAGGGGAAAAGUGCUUUCUUGUCCUGAAGCAGCAGAGAGUGGUUACUGAGGGGCAGGACCUACAGCCUGGGCCCCAGGAGGUGCUCUAAGGAGAACCGAGGGACAGAUGUUACACCCUCUGAAACCGUCUCAGCAUGCAACUUCCAGCAUCCAUGAAUCCCUUUCAGAAAAGGAAGGAUGUGUUUUCCCUAGAAAGAACAACCAUGUUUGGAAUGUGUGAAUACAUCUCACAAUAAAGUGCUUAUUUACUAAACACUCUAA